UGCAGUCGGUGAUGAAGGUACAAUUAAGUGCUGAGUUUUCUGUGAUUAACUCACCAAAUAUCACCAUCUUUCGGCUGAGACUGCG
rfam:Musa acuminata subsp. malaccensis Doubled-haploid Pahang (DH-Pahang) genomic chromosome, chr2